UCUUUCCUUACAUGUAACCGUAAAUCAUUAGUUACGACAAAACCUUUGAUUCUCUGCAUGCCCAACACGUGUUUCUACCUGCUUAGCAGUCUUCCCCAAUUCACUUGCAAUCUGCUAAGUCAUGUCGGGUUUGUAUAAUUCCAACUUCUCACCGGUGAGAGCUGCUUCUCCUCAGAUUAGAACCAACCCAGAAGUGGAUAGUCAGUACCUAACGGAGUUGCUGGCAGAGCAUCAGAAGCUUGGUCCUUUCAUGCAAGUACUUCCCAUAUGCACUCGUCUCUUGAAUCAAGGUUUGUUUUUGUGGAUCUGUCUUUCUUCUUUCUCGACAGAUCGCCCCUAUUAAUUCUUCUUACCUUUACCCCCUUU